rnacentral:rRNA from 1 species
GAUGAACGCUGGCGGCGUGCCUAAUACAUGCAAGUCGAACGAACCUUCUUUAUGCUUGCGCGUUUGACGUUACCGGCAGAGGGGUGAGUAACGAAUGGGUGAGUAACCUGUAAGCCAGGUGUCACUACGAGAGAGAGGAGAUAAGACCGGAGGAGCUAUUACACCAUAACCUUCGUUAGCGAAUGACAACUUUGUUAAAGGUUGUAGAUCUACCCGCGCCGCAUUAGCUAGUUGGUAGGGUAAAGGCUUACCAAGGCAACGAUGCGUAGCCGAAUUGAGAGGUUGAUCGGCCACAUUGGGACUGAGACACGGCCCAAACUCCUACGGGAGGCAGCAGUAGGGAAUCUUCCACAAUGGGCGAAAGCCUGAUGGAGCAACGCCGCGUGGGUGAAGAAGGUCUUCGGAUCGUAAAACCCUGUUAUUAGGGAAGAAAAAGCGUGAAAGUAACUGUGCACGUUUCGACGGUAUCUAACCAGAAAGCCACGGCUAACUACGUG